UUCCAUAAAAACUAAUGAAGUUAAAUAAGGGAAAUGAAUGCGGCCUUAAUAACUUUGAAAUGGUAAAUAAAGAACUUAGUUUGAUUUGAUUAACUGUUACGGGAAAAGUUUGGAUUAUCACUGCGGUAAAAAUAUACCUAACUGCGGGAUUAUAUGUCCUAAUGGUGGUAAAUUAUAACAUGUCUUCUGCUUAUUCAUAGCUGUGUAUGUUUACGUG
rnacentral:lncRNA from 1 species